UCAAAUUAUGAUUAAAGAGGAGUAUCUCCUUAUUAACAAUAUCCUUUUAUAAUACAAUAUACAUAUUUUUAUUUUAUGAAAAUUAAAUUUAAUAUUUCUAAUAAGAAAGAUAAAAUAUGGUGUUGGCUUAAAAGAUUGUUAACAAAUGGCAAGCCAAAGUUGGUCUUUUCAGUUUACACUCGAUUUUAAGUAAUUAUAUGGAGAAGUAG
rnacentral:lncRNA from 1 species